UACAGAGGUCUCAAGCGUUGUUCGGAUUCAUUGGGCGUAAAGGGUGCGCAGGUGGCGCGGCAAGUCGGAUGUGAAAUCCCGGGGCUCAACCCCGGAACUGCAUUCGAUACUGCCUUGCUUGAGUACUGGAGAGGAGAUUGGAAUUUACGGUGUAGCAGUGAAAUGCGUAGAUAUCGUAAGGAAGACCAGUGGCGAAGGCGGAUCUCUGGACAGUACUGACACUGAGGCACGAAGCCAGGGGAGCAAACGGG
rnacentral:rRNA from 1 species